ensembl:lncRNA
AUACACUCCUGGCACCCUUUCAUCUGUAAGUUAGUGGUUUCUGCCUUUGCGGUAACAAAAGGAGUCUGAAAGCUUAACCACAGGACCUGAAGAAUGCGAUGACUGGUAGAGGUAAUCCUAGUCGUCUCUCUUUUUGGUUGAGUCAUCACUCUUUACAUCAUCACUGACAUGCUGUGGGAGAACAUCAGGAAAAGAUUAACACGUGAAGUAUUAUUUUAUUUGAUUCUCAGAAGAACCAUAUGAAUUAUCUUUUAUUCCCAUUUUUGGGAGAGGAACAAAGACUAUGAGAAACUGAUGCUCCCAAGUCCACUCAGUGUUUAUCUCUGAAGACACUUCAGGCUAUAAAGCCACCUUCAGUGGAAUGGAAGACUCAAUGGAUCUUCUCCUCUUUUCUCUCCAUGAAGCCUGAAGAGGAGAUAGAAGAGUCUGAAAGGAUGGGGAGAAAGGAAGAAAGAGAGGGAGGAGACGAGGGCAGGAGAGAACUUCUUAAUGUCCAUCUGAAAUAGGUUCCUAAAGGCUGAGGACUUAAUCAACAGGCAACAAAAAGAAAUGCUUGCCUCCAUUCUGGACCCCAAAGGUUCUGGGGUUGCCUUUCUGUCCCUAACCAUCUCCUGGAGUUUGCCUAUGUUCAUAUCCAUUGAACCAGUGAUGCCAUCCAACCAUCUCAUCCUCUGUCACCCUCUUCUCCUUCU